UACGAGGGGGGCAAAUGUUGUUCGGAAUCACUGGGCGUAAAGCGUCCGCAGGUGGGUGUGUGUGUCGGAUGUGAAAGCCCAGGGCUCAACCCUGGAACUGCAUUCGAAACUGCACAUCUUGAGUACGGGAGAGGGAAGCAGAAUUCCUGGUGUAGAGGUGAAAUUCGUAGAUAUCAGGAGGAAUACCUGUGGCGAAAGCGGCUUCCUGGUCCGAUACUGACACUCAUGGACGAAAGCGUGGGGAGCAAACAGG
rnacentral:rRNA from 1 species